rnacentral:lncRNA from 1 species
AGGGUGAGGGGCGCCACAGAGGAAGCGCCCACCGGGCUUCCCGGGCUGCCAGGCCCCGAAUUGAGGAAGUUGACUGCCAGAUCACACUCUGUUGGCCCACGCAGAUAGAUUCCAUUCAUCCUUUCUAAUGUCUACACCAUAUUUUGGAUAACAUGCCAUCAUCUCACAUUGUGUUGAAAGAAGAAACCAGAAUGUUGGGGUUGAUGUAUGCCAUAUGGAUGAAUUUAAACAGUUUCGGCCUUGCAAUAAUUGGUAUACUUCUAAUUGCAUGUGAAAUUAUACUCUUUUUAACGAAAGAUGAAACUAUUCAGUGGCCACAUGUACCCAGUAACAGAGGGAGCAAAGCAAAUCUUAUCCUCAAAGAACUGCAGCUGCUUGUUAGAUCUACCUGGUGGUUCCAUAGAGAAACUGCUCAGAGAACCUGCCUUUACCUCGCCUAAAAUAGAACUAUCCCAGAGCUUAGCAAAGGAGUCCAUUCAUCCUCUAUAACUGCUAUACAAUAUCUUUGUUAAAAUGCUGAGAAGAUUUAUCCUAAAAGAAGGCACCAAAGCAAUGGGGUUCAUCAACUCAGGAUCCAGUAGUGUAAUACAGAAGCCUGUUACAAGAUAUAAGGCACUUCGCCCUCGGAAAUCUCACUGUCGGAAUCCUUGGAAAUCACACCAUGCACAACUUCUAUUUCUUCAUAAUUUGCAAAGAACCAGUGUGACUCCAGUCAAGAACAAAAGAUUAAUUGUGAAUUAGCGAAGAACUCUAAUUUUUUCAAGAAGCCACAUGGAAAACGCAUUCUAAUGAAGUCCUUUCCAUUGCUCUUUUUUCUUAGUUCUUCAAUAAAGCAUGCGAUUUGAUCACAAA